rnacentral:lncRNA from 1 species
UUCAUUUCAUAUUAUGUGCUAAUCACAAACUACAGUCCAUAAACUCAAUUGGAAUGAGAUAUUCAAAAUAUAUCAAUGUUUGAGGAGCCAGCCAUAUCCAAAGGGUGAGAAUUUACAAUGUUGAAAGCAAAAAUCCCCUUCACACCCAGAUUUCUCAAGUUGUUUCACACAACCCUUGUAAAGCAAAACAAGUUGUUUCUCAAGUUCUUACUAACGAAUAAUGAUUUACCAUUACCACACAACAUGAAUAAAUUAAAACUCUACGAAAUUGGGGGUAAAGUUGAGGAUUAGGGUUUUAAAACAUUUGGGUCUUUUCACAUUUAGAAACAAUCAUAGGUUAAGCACUCACCAGAAAUUCACUUCAUCGCUACGCUUAGGAGAGGUAAAGUGCGAAUCUGAACAAUCUCAGAGAAGUGGAGAACAACCGCUACCUUGUGCGGUGGUGAAGCGGCAAAAACGAGAAGCUGAGAGGACCACAAUUCUGCAAGUGUGUUUCUGCGACCAGAUGCAAAAAUAGAGAGAGAUGGUGAUGUUUCGUUUCGUUUCAUUCAUUUGGGUUUAGGGUUUCCUUCUUUGAUCUACCGUUUGUGAGAAGAGAGAAUGUCUUGAGUGUGUUUUGGUGAGGGAGUGGUUUACUAAAAGGAAGAAAUAACAUAUAUUUUUAUUUUCUCUUUACCCACGGCCUAGAUAUCGGUACGUUAGAUCUAUUGUGUAUACCGAAGAAUUUUGCUUACUUUCACCGUACCCACGGCUUUGCUCUUGGUAUUACUCACGGUAAGUGGCCAUGGGUAAAAAUACCGUGGGUAUAUGCAAUUAUUCUUGUAGUG